rnacentral:tRNA from 1 species
CCUGGUGGUUAAGACACCAGGCUAAUAACCUGGGGGUCGUGGGUUCAAGCCC